rnacentral:rRNA from 1 species
AUUGAACGCUGGCGGCAGGCCUAACACAUGCAAGUCGAACGAGUGGCGGACGGGUGAGUAAUGUUUGGGCAUCUUCCUGAUGGCUGUUGAUAACUACUGGAAACGGUAGCUAAUACCGCAUACCAUCAGAUGAUCCCAGAUGGGAUGAGCUAGUUGGUGAGGUAAGGGCUGACCAAGGCGACGAUCCCUAGCUGGUCUGAGAGGAUGACCAGCAAUACUGGAAGUGAGAGACGGGCCAGAAUCGUAGGGGAGGCAGCAGUGGGGAAUAUUGGGCAAUGGGCGCAAGCCUGAUGCAGCAAUGCCGCGUGUAUGAAGAAGUCCGGAGGGUUGUAAAGUACUUUCAGGGGGGAGGCGUUACCUGCACAAGAAGCAACGGCUAACUCCGUGCCAGCAGCCGCGGUAAUAC